rnacentral:rRNA from 1 species
GCCUAAUACAUGCAAGUCGAACGGUUGUAGUGAUACAAUAGUGGCGCACGGGUGCGUAACACGUAUGCAACCUACCUUAUAGACGGGGAUAGCCUUUGGAAACGGAGAUUAAUACCCGAUAGUAACCUUGAUUGGCAUCAAUUAAUGUUUAAAGAUUUAUCGCUAUAAGCUGGGCAUGCGUCCAAUUAGUUAGUUGGUUAGGUAAUGGCUGACCAAGACGAUGAUUGGUAGGGGAACUGAGAGGUUAAUCCCCCACACUGGCACUGAGAUACGGGCCAGACUCCUACGGGAGGCAGCAGUAAGGAAUAUUGGUCAAUGGAGGCAACUCUGAACCAGCCAUGCCGCGUGCAGGAAGACUGCCUUAUGGGUUGUAAACUGCUUUUAUACGGGAAUAAACCUUAAUUCGUGAAUUAAGCUGAAUGUACCGUAAGAAUAAGGAUCGGCUAACUCCGUGCCAGCAGCCGCGGUAAUACGGAGGAUCCAAGCGUUAUCCGGAUUUAUUGGGUUUAAAGGGAGCGUAGGCGGCUUGUUAAGUCAGGGGUGAAAGACGGUGGCUCAACCAUCGCAGUGCCUUUGAUACUGACGAGCUUGAAUAUAGUUGAGGUAGGCGGAAUGUGACAAGUAGCGGUGAAAUGCAUAGAUAUGUCACAGAACACCGAUUGCGAAGGCAGCUUACUAAGCUAUUAUUGACGCUGAGGCUCGAAAGCGUGGGGAUCAAACAGGAUUAGAUACCCUGGUAGUCCACGCCCUAAACGAUGAUAACUCGAUGUUGGCGAUAUACAGUCAGCGUCCAAGCGAAAGCGUUAAGUUAUCCACCUGGGGAGUACGCCCGCAAGGGUGAAACUCAAAGGAAUUGACGGGGGCCCGCACAAGCGGAGGAGCAUGUGGUUUAAUUCGA